rnacentral:ncRNA from 1 species
ACCCCCGUGAGAAUGCCCUUACUCCUCUUAUGAAAUUAAGGAGCUGGUAUCAGGCACGCGCCUUAAAAUGUAGCCCAUGACGCCUUGCUUAGCCACACCCCCAAGGGACUUCAGCAGUGAUAAACAUUAAGCAAUAAGAGAAAACUUGACUUAGUUAAAGUAUAUUAGGGUCGGUAAAACUCGUGCCAGCCACCGCGGUUAUACGAGAGACUCAAAAUGAUAAGUGUCGGCGUAAAGGGUGGUUAAAAAACUACUGACUAAAGUUAAACAUUUUCUUAGCUGUUAUACGCACUCGAAAAAAUGAAAAUCAAUCACGAAAGUAACUUUAAUUAUUUGACCCCACGAAAGCUAUUAAACAAACUGGGAUUAGAUACCCCACUAUGCUUAGCCUUAAACAUUGAUACAAUUAAUACAAUUUUAUCCGCCUGGGAAUUAAGAGCAUUAGCUUAAAACCCGAAGGACUUGGCGGUGCUUCAAACCCACCUAGAGGAGCCUGUUCUAGAACCGAUAACCCCCGUUAAACCUCACCCCUUCUUGUUUAACCCGCCUAUAUACCGCCGUCGUCAGCUUACCUUUUGAAAGCAUUAAAGUAAGCAAAAUUGGUAUAACCUAAAACGUCAGGUCGAGGUGUAGUAUAUGAAGGGGAAAGAAAUGGGCUACAUUCAUCCACUGAUGAAUAACAGAUUAAUUAAUGAAAAAUAAUUAUGAAGGAGGAUUUAGUAGUAAGAAGGAAAUAGAGAGUCCUCCUGAAACUGGCCCUGAAGCGCGCACACACCGCCCGUCACUCUCCUCUACACACAUUAAAAGUAAGUAAAACCAAUAUUAAAAUUUAAGGGGAGGCAAGUCGUAACAUGGUAAGUGUACCGGAAGGUGCACUUGGAAU